rnacentral:rRNA from 1 species
UGAUCAAGUUACUGCGGCACAUAGAGGAUACCUUGGCACGGCAAGUCGAUGAAGGACGCGAUUGGCUGCGAUAUGCCUCGGGGAGCUGUCAAAAUAGCUUUGAUCCGGGGAUUUCCGAAUGGGGGAACCCGAUACGGCUAAUCCCGUAUCACCCCGCACGCAAGUGUGGGGAGACAACCCGCUGAACUGAAACAUCUUAGUAAGCGGAGGAAAAGAAAGUAAAAACGAUUCCCAAAGUAGUGGCGAGCGAAAUGGGAACAGCCUAAACCCUCGAUCUUUGGUCGGGGGGGUUGCGGGACCGCGAUGUGGGAUUGGAGAACCUAGCUGAAUCGACCUGGAAAGGUCAGCCAUAGAGAGUGAUAGCCUCGUAAGCGAAAGGUUCAAAGACCCUAGCGGAAUCCCAAGUACAACGGGACACGUGGAAUCCUGUUGGAAUCUGGGAGGACCAUCUCCUAAGGCUAAAUACUCUGCCGUGACCGAUAGUGAACUAGUACCGUGAGGGAAAGGUGAAAAGAACCCAGGAAUGGGAGUGAAAUAGAACUUGAAACUGUGUGCCUACAAGCAGUCGGAGCUCGGUAGCAAUACCGGGUGACGGCAUGCCUAUUGAAGAAUGAGCCGGCGACUUACAGUUGGCAGCGAGCUUAGGGUGAAGAGCCCGAGGCGUAGCGAAAGCGAGUCUGAAUAGGGCGACUUAGUUGCCAGCUGUAGACCCGAAACCGAUAGCGAUCUAUCCUUGGGCAGGGUGAACUUCGGCUAACCCCGGAGGGAGGCCCGAACGGGUUGAUGUUGAAAAAUCAUCCGAUGACCUGAGGAUAGCAGUGAAAAGCUAAACGAGCUCGGAGAUAGCUGGUUCUCCUCGAAAUGGUUUUAGGGCCAGCCUUAGGAUUAUCCUUGCGGGGGUAGAGUACAGUUUGGACUAGGGUCCCGAAAGGGAUUCCAAAUCCUCGCUAACUCCGAAUACCGCAAGGUAACUUCCUAGGAGUGAGUCUACGAGGGAUAAGCUUCGUGGUCAAAAGGGAAACAACCCAGACCGCCAGCUAAGGUUCCUAAAGACAAGCUAAGUGGGAAAGGAAGUGGGGUUGCUUAAACAGCCAGGAGGUUGGCUUAGAAGCAGCCAUCCUUUAAAGAGUGCGUAACAGCUCACUGGUCGAGCGAUCCUGCGCCGAAAACACACGGAGCUAAGCUUGUUACCGAAGCUGCGGGUCUUCUCCCGACUUUUAGUCGGGGGGAGGCGGUAGAGGAGCGUUCCGUAGUAGGUUGAAGUCGUGUCGCGAGGCACGGUGGACGAAACGGAAGUGAGAAUGUCGGCAUAAGUAACGAAAAGGCAGGUGGAAAUCCUGCCCGCCGAAAGUCUAAGGUUUCCUGGGGAAGGCUCGUCCUCCCAGGGUAAGUCGAUAUCUAAGGUGAGGCCCCGCCCAGGGGCGUAGCCGAUGGCAAGUCCGGUUAAUAUUCCGGCACCACCUGUUCUGUUAACCAGAGGGACGCAGGAGGAUAGCCCAUAACCCUUAUUGGAUUGGGGAUCCCAAGGGCAACCGCGGGAGGUUUGGGUGAUUCCACACUGACGAGAAAAGCUCUGGGGAUUGGAGCAGGUGAUCGUACUACAAACCGACACAGGUGGACUGGCUGAGCAAGCCAAGGCGCGCGAGAGAACUCUCUCUAAGGAACUAGGCAAAAUGGUCCCGUAACUUCGGGAGAAGGGACGCCUCGACGAAAGUCGGGGCCGCAGAAACCAGGCUCCUGCGACUGUUUAACAAAAACACAGGUCUCUGCAAACCCGUAAGGGGAUGUAUAGGGGCUGAUGCCUGCCCAGUGCUGGAACGUUAAGGGGCGUCCUGAGAUCACAUCAAGGGACAAACCGAAGCGCCAGUGAACGGCGGCCGUAACUAUAACGGUCCUAAGGUAGCGAAAUUCCUUGUCGGGUAAGUUCCGACCCGCACGAAAGGCAUAACGAAAGGAGCGCUGUCUCGGAGAGAGACUCGGUGAAAUUGGGAUGUCCGUGAAGACACGGAUUUCCUGCACCAGGACAGAAAGACCCCGUGGAGCUUUACUAUACCCUAGCUUUGGAUUUUGAUGCUGCUUGCGUAGCAUAGGUGGGAGGCGUUGAAGCUCUGGUUUCGGCUGGAGCAGAGCCAACAGUGAAAUACCACCCUGGCAUCAUUAGAGUUCUAACCCUGGCCGUGAAGGCUGGGAGACAGAGUUAGGCGGGUAGUUUGACUGGGGCGGUCGCCUCCUAAAGAGUAACGGAGGCGUUCAAAGGUACCCUCAGCACGGUUGGAAAUCGUGCGUCGAGUGUAAAGGCAUAAGGGUGCUUGACUGUGAGACGUACAUGUCGAGCAGGGACGAAAGUCGGACUUAGUGAUCCGGUGGUUCUGGAUGGAAGGGCCAUCGCUCAACGGAUAAAAGUUACCCCGGGGAUAACAGGCUGAUCUCCUCCAAGAGUUCACAUCGACGAGGAGGUUUGGCACCUCGAUGUCGGCUCAUCGCAUCCUGGAGCUGGAGCAGGUUCCAAGGGUUGGGCUGUUCGCCCAUUAAAGCGGUACGUGAGCUGGGUUCAGAACGUAAGUUACAUUGCGUUCUACCACAGUAAUGUGGUAAAAUAAAAAGUCGACUCAUAUCGGUGGAACCCUACUCUUCUUCCGAACGGAAGAGAGGGCAAUACCGAGGGAAGACGGAGGUUCAGGUGAAGAAUAGUAUUCUUUCUUACAUUGCUGGUUUUCUUGACGGAGAUGGCUGCAUCAUGCUUCAACUAGUAUAUCGGCAUGAUUACCUUCUCGGAUACCAAAUUAGAUCAAGCAUCGUUUUUUACCAAAAGACAAGGUAUAGAAAGUAUCUUGAAUGGUUAAAGUCCAAAUUAAAAUUCGGUUACCUCAGAAAUCGAAAGGAUAAUAUCACCGAAUACACAAUAGUUGGCCAUGAAGAAGUAGAAGCAAUCCUAACGCUUCUUAAGCCAUAUCUCCGUUUAAAAAAAGAGCAAGCCAGGUUAGCUCUUGAAAUAAUCAAUAAACUAAAAGGGAUUAAAAGAUUAUCUCCUAAAAUUCUAUUGAAAAUGAGUAGGAAAGUUGACCGGUUUGCUAGUUUGAAUUGCUCUAAAAAGAGAACAAACACUGCAGCAAAAGUAAAAAAAUUCUUAAUAGCUAAGAACCUCUUGUCCCCGUAACGACUCUCCGAUUCAAUCGGAGGACUUUACCAUACAGGUAAGGUAAUACGUCGACCUCCCGACAAAAUGUCGGGAUGAAGGUAUAGUCUAUGCCACUGGUAACAGUGGAACAACAUGCGUGAGACAGUUCGGUCCAUAUCCGGUGCAGGCGCAAGGGAAUCUGAAGAGGAGUCCUCCCUAGUACGAGAGGACCGGGAGGAACAGACCUCUAGUGUACCAGUUGUGGGGCCUACCCGCAAACGCUGGGUAGCUAUGUCUGGUCGGGAUAAAUGCUGAAAGCAUCUAAGCAUCAAGCCCACCUCAAGACUAGAUUCCCCACCCUGAUGGCAACAUCAGGGGUAAGACCCCCUGCAGACUACAGGGUUGAUAGGCUGGAGGUGUAAAGGCGGUAACGUCUGAGCUGACCAGUACUAAUCGGUCGAGGACUUGAUCAUAAAA